rnacentral:lncRNA from 1 species
UUUGACCUUGGGGUGAACUGUAUGCGGUCUAAGGUUUAAAGACAGCUGUUGUGAUUAUGUAACAACUUUAAACUAGUAAGUAUUCAGUUGACAAGCAGCAUAUAAAUAUGUGGGUUUACAUGAAUACAAGCUGCGUUUACUCAAGUGUCUUACAAGUAGGCAGGCUCUCCAUUAACAGGCUCUGUAUGCACUACUUAGUGCACUAUUUCUCAGCGGUUUUGGACGCGCCCGCUGCGCAGCUACUCACUGUGCGUGUUUCAGUUCGCCCUCUUGGUGGGCAUGCAUGUGUGUGUGAGAGAAAGAGGGAGAGAGAAAGAAAGAGAGAGAGUGCACAGAAAGAGUUUGCAGACCUAAAACUGGAGCUUAACCAAGAAUUAUUAAGCCUCAGACUGGAAAUACACCUCAGAGACACAGUCAUAGCGUCUCUAAAAGCAUAGCUAAAAUCCCAAUCAUUCCCCAUGAAUACUGCCCAUACUGAAGAUGCCCAGCUCACCCAAAGCUCCUCAGACACUCCUCCUAACCCCACUAAGCCAGAUGACACCCAGACACAGCCCAUUACAUAAAGAAAACAUACUGAAUCAAUCCCAGAAACUGCCACUGUGCCCCAAAAUCACCAGGAAGACAAAACUCAUACCACCCCAAACCGAGACCACAGAGCAAGCAGAUCUUCUGCAUCACACACAGAUGCAGAAGUAGCAAUACUUAUUGACUCAAACGGAAAGUUCUUACAAGAAGAAAAACUUUUCCCAAAAAGAAAAACUACAAAGAUAUGGUGCCCAAGAACAAGAGACGCCCAUCAAAUCCUGUCAGGCAAUAUCCUUGACAAGCCCACCUGCAUCAUCAUUCAUACAGGCACAAGAGUAUGUGCCCUGAUCCCUAAUGUGCACCUGUCCCACCACUCCAACAUCAGCCCCCAUCAUAUUUAUGAUUAUGUGCACUUAAACAGAAACACUGUUAAAGAAUUUGCCAAAACUUUGAAGGACGUGGCACUGGGUCGACAAA